CAAAAAUUUAUAGUCUUCCUGACUAUUUUAGUCUUCAAAUACAUAACAAAAUCAAAGAACGCACAAUUUUCCAUUUCAGAAUCUUCAGUUUCUAGGCAAUUUUAAUGUCAUUUCAGGAAAAUGAAAAUAAAAAUAUUUUAUUUUACCAAUAUCCAAUUAUUUAGGAUUUAGUUUACCAAUGACAUCAUUCAAAUAUGAUUUGAAAUAAAUUACCCAGAAUUCAUUAGAUUCUGAAAUGGCAAAUUAUGAAAUGAAAAUUAUAUUAAAUAAUUAUGUAAUACUGACAAUAAUAUAUAACCAUGGCUUUUGAGGACUAAUGAAACAUACCAUAAUAGAUUCAAUUUGAUUUAAAUGUUGUGUGCAUACAGUUUGAGUAAACACAGCAGAAAAGAGAUGCUCACCUGAAACUCUUUUCUACAAUUUUUCUUCUUCUUCAUAAAACAAACUUGUGGAAUUAUUUUUAAUCAGAAUUACUAAAAUAAACACUUUGUUUUUACUUUUUACUUCCCAAACACAAUUUUCCAUUAUAAUUUAAAAUUUAAACAUUUAAAAAGAAUAUAUGUUUCUUGUUAAGGAACAUACUUACUCACAGCUAAAUAUGAUUCCUAACCAAGUUAUCAACUAAAUCCUAAACUUCAUACAAUUUCAUCAUCAGAAAGUUGUUGCCAAUGUUUAACUAACCAAACGUUUGGUUAAAUCUCAAUAAAACAAUCCCAAAAACAUAAAUUUGAGCGUCUCAAGUGAUGAAAUUUCAUUUAUGAGAUAGUAGUAUGAUAUUUAAAACAAAUGUUUACAACAGCAAAACCAAGUUACAUAUGUCAUACUUAACUUACAAUAAAAUUAUCUCCAUUCUAUUACAAAAAAACACAAAACUUUUCACUUCAAAAUUGAUUUGGUAUUUGUGCAAAAAGCUGCAAGACUCUGUUUUGUCUUUGGCUGUUGUACUUUCUAGCGUAAUACAUACACAUUUGUCAUCAAAAGUAAACACCUACAAGGUUUUUUUGGCUUUAUAUUGGAUGAUAAAAUCUUGACAAAUAAUUGAGAUUUUCAGGAAAGAAAUGUGACUAUUUUAUUUAGUUUUGAAGAACUCUCAUAUAAGUUUUAUUGUGGAAUUAAAAAUGUAGGCUUCCAUUAGUUGCAAACAAGAUAAUUUAGAAAUUAAUCCGUUUGUUAUCCAGUCCCAUCCAUCAACACCAAAAUGUAUUAUAAAGAUAAUUGAGGUUCAGAGAUAAACGUAAAGGGAAAUAACUUAAUCUUCAGGUAGUAUAUAUCAGAAACAUAGUUGUUCUAGUAAGAUAUAAAGAUUCGUCCUAAGCUUCCAGGUUACAUAGAUUAUUUUCAAUCUGCUUCAGGUAAAUGCAUAAAAUACAUUGAUGAAACUUGACUUUUACAAACACAUUACUGAUUCAAAGAGUUUUUUUAUCUCCCUGAAUUAAGGUCUACUCCUUUAAAAUACAUAAAAAGCGUGAUUGACAGAUAAAAGAA
rnacentral:lncRNA from 1 species